rnacentral:rRNA from 1 species
GACGAACGCUGGCGGCGUGCUUAACACAUGCAAGUCGAACGGAAAGGCCCUGCUUUUGUGGGGUGCUCGAGUGGCGAACGGGUGAGUAACACGUGAGUAACCUGCCCUUGACUUUGGGAUAACCUCAGGAAACUGGGGCUAAUACCGGAUAGGAGCUCCUGCUGCAUGGUGGGGGUUGGAAAGUUUCGGCGGUUGGGGAUGGACUCGCGGCUUAUCAGCUUGUUGGUGGGGUAGUGGCUUACCAAGGCUUUGACGGGUAGCCGGCCUGAGAGGGUGACCGGCCACAUUGGGACUGAGAUACGGCCCAGACUCCUACCGGAGGCAGCAGUGGGGAAUAUUGCACAAUGGGCGGAAGCCUGAUGCAGCAACGCCGCGUGCGGGAUGACGGCCUUCGGGUUGUAAACCGCUUUCGCCUGUGACGAAGCGUGAGUGACGGUAAUGGGUAAAGAAGCACCGGCUAACUACGUGCCAGCAGCCGCGGUGAUACGUAGGGUGCGAGCGUUGUCCGGAUUUAUUGGGCGUAAAGGGCUCGUAGGUGGUUGAUCGCGUCGGAAGUGUAAUCUUGGGGCUUAACCCUGAGCGUGCUUUCGAUACGGGUUGACUUGAGGAAGGUAGGGGAGAAUGGAAUUCCUGGUGGAGCGGUGGAAUGCGCAGAUAUCAGGAGGAACACCAGUGGCGAAGGCGGUUCUCUGGGCCUUUCCUGACGCUGAGGAGCGAAAGCGUGGGGAGCGAACAGGCUUAGAUACCCUGGUAGUCCACGCUGUAAACGGUGGGUACUAGGUGUGGGGUCCAUUCCACGGGUUCCGUGCCGUAGCUAACGCUUUAAGUACCCCGCCUGGGGAGUACGGCCGCAAGGCUAAAACUCAAAGGAAUUGACGGGGCCCCGCACAAGCGGCGGAGCACGCGGAUUAAUUCGAUGCAACGCGUAGAACCUUACCUGGGUUUGACAUGGAUCGGGAGCGCUCAGAGAUGGGUGUGCCUCUUUUGGGGUCGGUUCACAGGUGGUGCAUGGCUGUCGUCAGCUCGUGUCGUGAGAUGUUGGGUUAAGUCCCGCAACGAGCGCAACCCUUGUUCACUGUUGCCAGCACGUUAUGGUGGGGACUCAGUGGAGACCGCCGGGGUCAACUCGGAGGAAGGUGGGGAUGACGUCAAGUCAUCAUGCCCCUUAUGUCCAGGGCUUCACGCAUGCUACAAUGGCUGGUACAGAGAGUGGCGAGCCUGUGAGGGUGAGCGAAUCUCGGAAAGCCGGUCUCAGUUCGGAUUGGGGUCUGCAACUCGACCUCAUGAAGUCGGAGUCGCUAGUAAUCGCAGAUCAGCAACGCUGCGGUGAAUACGUUCCCGGG